GAACGCUGGCGGCAGGCCUAACACAUGCAAGUCGAACGGUAACAGGAAGCAGCUUGCUGCUUCGCUGACGAGUGGCGGACGGGUGAGUAAUGUCUGGGAAACUGCCUGAUGGAGGGGGAUAACUACUGGAAACGGUAGCUAAUACCGCAUAACGUCGCAAGACCAAAGAGGGGGACCUUCGGGCCUCUUGCCAUCGGAUGUGCCCAGAUGGGAUUAGCUAGUAGGUGGGGUAACGGCUCACCUAGGCGACGAUCCCUAGCUGGUCUGAGAGGAUGACCAGCCACACUGGAACUGAGACACGGUCCAGACUCCUACGGGAGGCAGCAGUGGGGAAUAUUGCACAAUGGGCGCAAGCCUGAUGCAGCCAUGCCGCGUGUAUGAAGAAGGCCUUCGGGUUGUAAAGUACUUUCAGCGGGGAGGAAGGGAGUAAAGUUAAUACCUUUGCUCAUUGACGUUACCCGCAGAAGAAGCACCGGCUAACUCCGUGCCAGCAGCCGCGGGUAAUACA
rnacentral:rRNA from 1 species